rnacentral:snRNA from 1 species
AUAUAUUGGCCUUUUGGCCAACAUAAAGUGUAGUUUAUGUUCUUUUCAGUUUAAUAUCUGAAAAGAAUGUUUUCCAUAUAUUCAUAUGAAACAUUU